rnacentral:tRNA from 1 species
GCCGAGAUGGUGGAAUGGUAGACACCGGGGACUUAAAAUCCCCUCCCUGUAAAGGGGUACGGGUUCAACUCCCGUUCUCGGCA